rnacentral:rRNA from 1 species
AGAAUCAACGCUGGCGGCGUGCCUAACACAUGCAAGUCGAACGAGAAAGUGGAGCAAUCCACAAGUAAAGUGGCGCACGGGUGAGUAACACGUGACUAACCUACCCUUGAGUGGGGGAUAACCUAGAGAAAUCUGGGCUAAUACCGCAUAAUACCUUCGGGUCAAAGGAGCAAUUCGCUUAAGGAGGGGUCGCGGCCGAUUAGUUAGUUGACGGGGUAAUGGCCCACCAAGACUAUGAUCGGUA